CGGUGGGAACGUACCUUUUGGUUCGGAACAACACAGGGAAACUUGUGCUAAUACCGGAUAAGCCCUUACGGGGAAAGAUUUAUCGCCGAAAGAUCGGCCCGCGUCUGAUUAGCUAUUUGGUGAGGUAAUGGCUCACCAAGGCGACGAUCAGUAGCUGGUCUGAGAGGAUGAUCAGCCACAUUGGGACUGAGACACGGUCCAAACUCCUACGGGAGGCAGCAGUGGGGAAUAUUGGACAAUGGGCGCAAGCCUGAUCCAGCCAUGCCGCGUGAGUGAUGAACGACCUAGGGUUGUAAAGCUCUUUUGUGCGGGAAGAUAAUGACGGUACCGCAAGAAUAAGCCCCGGCUAACUUCGUGCCAGCAGCCGCGGUAAUACGAAGGGGGCUAGCGUUGCUCGGAAUCACUGGGCGUAAAGGGUGCGUAGGCGGGUCUUUAAGUCAGGGGUGAAAUCCUGGAGCUCAACUCCAGAACUGCCCUUGAUACUGAGGAUCUUGAGUUCGGGAGAGGUGAGUGGAACUGCGAGUGUAGAGGUGAAAUUCGUAGAUAUUCGCAAGAACACCAGUGGCGAAGGCGGCUCACUGGCCCGAUACUGACGCUGAGGCA
rnacentral:rRNA from 1 species